GAUGAACGCUGGCGGCGUGCCUAAUACAUGCAAGUCGAGCGAACAGACGAGGAGCUUGCUCCUCUGACGUUAGCGGCGGACGGGUGAGUAACACGUGGAUAACCUACCUAUAAGACUGGGAUAACUUCGGGAAACCGGAGCUAAUACCGGAUAAUAUAUUGAACCGCAUGGUUCAAUAGUGAAAGACGGUUUUGCUGUCACUUAUAGAUGGAUCCGCGCCGCAUUAGCUAGUUGGUAAGGUAACGGAUUACCAAGGCAACGAUGCGUAGCCGACCUGAGAGGGUGAUCGGCCACACGGGAACUGAGACACGGUCCAGACUCCUACGGGAGGCAGCAGUAGGGAAUCUUCCGCAAUGGGCGAAAGCCUGACGGAGCAACGCCGCGUGAGUGAUGAAGGUCUUCGGAUCGUAAAACUCUGUUAUUAGGGAAGAACAAAUGUGUAAGUAACUAUGCACGUCUUGACGGUACCUAAUCAGAAAGCCACGGCUAACUACGUG
rnacentral:rRNA from 1 species